rnacentral:rRNA from 1 species
UACGUAGGGGGCUAGCGUUGUCCGGAUUUACUGGGCGUAAAGGGCGCGUAGGCGGCGCAACAAGUCACUUGUGAAAUCUCCGGGCUUAACUCGGAGCGGCCAAGUGAUACUGUCGUGCUAGAGUGCGGAAGGGGCUACUGGAAUUCUCGGUGUAGCGGUGAAAUGCGUAGAUAUCGAGAGGAACACCUGCGGCGAAGGCGGGUAGCUGGGCCGACACUGACGCUGAGGCGCGAAAGCCAGGGGAGCGAACGGG